rnacentral:rRNA from 1 species
UCCCGAAGCGUGUGCUAAGUGGGAAAGGAUGUGGAGUCGCAUAGACAGCCAGGAGGUUGGCUCAGAAGCAGCCAUCCUUGAAAGAGUGCGUAACAGCUCACUGGUCUAGUGGUUCCGCGCCGACAAUGUAGCGGGGCUCAAGCACACCACCGAAGACGCGGCAGCAAUCUUCAUGGUUGCUGGGUAGGAGAGCGUCCUGCGAGGGGCGAAGCGGCCGGGUAACCGUGCCGUGGACUUCGUGGGAGUGAGAAUGCAGACAUGAGUAGCGAGAGACGGGUGAGGAUCCCGUCCGCUGGAUGACCAAGGGUUCCGGGGCCACGUUCGUCGUCCCCGGGUGAGUCGGGUCCUAAGGCGAGGCCGACAGGCGUAGUCGAAUGGAUGAACGGGUGGAUAUUCCCGUACCGACCAUGGACCGGCAAAACCGAGACGGUGAGUACUAACCUCCGCCUCGUGGUGGUUCCUUCCUUCGGGUUGGUAUCGCCGCGUGGUGUUGGGACCGUAGCCGCAGUAGGUCAGCGCAGGGGUGACACGGAAUGGGAGCCGGCCGCGGAGGUGGUUUUCCGUGGUCAAGCACGCAGCCAGUCAUGUAGGCAAAUCCGCAUGGCGCGCAUGGCGAGGUGUGAUGAUGGGAGCCUUUUGGGCUCGAUAUCCGGUUGUCCAGGCCGUCGAGAAAAGCCUCGGCGUGAGGGCCAUGGCCGCCCGUACCCCAAACCGACACUGGUGGUCAGGUAGAGAAUACCAAGGCGAUCGAGCGAAUCCUGGUCAAGGAACUCGGCAAAUCACUCCCGUUCCUUCGGUUUAAGGGAGACCCCCGAUGGUGAACACACUUGCUGUGGGAGCUUUUGGGGGUGGCACAGACCAGGGGGUAGCGACUGUUUACCAAAAACACAGGUGCAUGCGAAGGCGAAAGCCGCUGUAUAUGCACUGACGCCUGCCCGGUGCCGGAAGGUUAAGAGGAUCCGUCAGCCUUCGGGUGAAGCGGUGAAUUCAAGCCCCGGUAAACGGCGGUGGUAACUAUAACCAUCCUAAGGUAGCGAAAUUCCUUGUCGGGUAAGUUCCGACCUGCACGAAUGGCGUAACGACUUCCCCACUGUCUCGACCAGGAGCUCGGCGAAAUUGCAGUACGAGUAAAGAUGCUCGUUAAGCGCAGAAGGACGAAAAGACCCCGGGACCUUUACUAUACCUUGGUAUUGGCGUUAGGCGCGGAUUGUGUAGCAUAGGCGGGAGGCUUCGAAGCGUGGGCGCCAGCCCGUGUGGAGCCGCAAGGUGAAAUACCGCUCUGUUCUCGUUUGACGUCUAACCUCGACAAGUCAUCCUUGUCAGGGACAGUGCCUGGCGGGUAGUUCAACUGGGGCGGUUGCCUCCCAAAGAGUAACGGAGGCGCUCAAAGGUCCGCUCAGCCCGGUUGGCAAUCGGGUGUCGAGUGUAAUCGCACAAGCGGGCUUGACUGCGAGGACGACGGUCCGAGCAGGGACGAAAGUCGGAGAUAGUGAUCCGGUGCCGGCGCACGGGCGCGGCAUCGCUCAACGGAUAAAAGGUACCCCGGGGAUAACAGGCUGAUCAUUCCCAAGAGUCCAUAUCGACGGGAUGGUUUGGCACCUCGAUGUCGGCUCGUCGCAUCCUGGGGCUGGAGCAGGUCCCAAGGGUUCGGCUGUUCGCCGAUUAAAGCGGCACGCGAGCUGGGUUCAGAACGUCGUGAGACAGUUUGGUCUCUAUCCUCUGCGCUCGUUGGAAUCCUGAGGAGGCCUGCCCAUAGUACGAGAGGACCUGGGUGGACGAACCUCUGGUAUGCCGGUUGUC